AUGAGGAACAGAUUUUGGACAAACAAACAUGAGAAGAAGAGAGAAAAACAUAGACAAAGCACACGCAUGCACAGUAGUAGUAUAGUCUCAAGUCUCAACCACCAAAUUGAAAGAGAAUCAAAACAUAUCAAAUCAAAAACCACAUGUGAACAACAUGAACAUGAAUAUGAAAUUUAUCUAACUAUAAUAUAA